UACGUAGGUGGCGAGCGUUAUCCGGAAUUAUUGGGCGUAAAGAGCGCGCAGGUGGUUGAUUAAGUCUGAUGUGAAAGCCCACGGCUUAACCGUGGAGGGUCAUUGGAAACUGGUCGACUUGAGUGCAGAAGAGGGAAGUGGAAUUCCAUGUGUAGCGGUGAAAUGCGUAGAUAUAUGGAGGAACACCAGUGGCGAAGGCGACUCUCUGGUCUGUUAUUGACACUGAGGCUCGAAAGCGUGGGGAGCAAACAGGAUUAGA
rnacentral:rRNA from 1 species